ACUUUGCACAGAGAUUCCCCAGAAGGUGGCUCUGAGCAAGUCUUCACAUUUGCCAUUUGAUUAAUUAAAGAUAAAUGGCGGAGACUUUUCCCUAAAUGGGUUACUUGAUUUAAGAGCUGCUGGCUAAUUUUGGUCGGAUAAUUUAAUAGAAGAGGGAAGAGGAAAGGAAAGAAAGGGGCUUGAAGAAAGAGGAAGAGAAAAGAAACACAAGGAUGGAGAACAAGGAGAGACCAUUUGAAUAGAAUGCAACUGAAGAAAUGGCUGGUGCAAUUCAGCAAGGUAAAAGAUUAUCUUACCCCCAGCUGGUUAAAGGCAGAAGCUAUGAAUUUGUGCUAUUGUCUGUGGGCUCCUUUCAGUUCUCAAACAGUAGCUGCCACUUCUAGCUGGGAGAGAAAUGAGAGCUCUGCUCAUGGUGAUCCAGUAUCUCCAGAAUCCAUCACCACUGCUGACCUCCCACUCCAUGUCUCCAAGUGCUCUGCUAUACCUGCCACCAGCAGCUGCCACCUCCAGACUUUGGAAGGUUAUAAUAAAACCUCUGUUCUACGAUCUGCCUUCUGCUUCAACAUCCUCACUCCCCACAAACAAUUCUAAUAAACAGCAAUUAAUCUGAAAGUGUUUUUGCAAUUUUAAUGUAUGAGAUAUGGUUUCUCUCAAAAGCUACACUGCUCUUGUGUCCUUACAAGGUAUUUUCUUAGCAAGAAUAAUCUGUUUGCAUGGGUGUUAAUGACUAAAUCCCUUUCUUGUAAAGUUAUGCCCAUCUGUCACACAAGAAGAAUAGUACCCUUUAGAGAGCGCUGAAAUGUAGGGAAAUGUAGGGAAAAUGAGCAGCUAUUCAAAAAGGUAAAAUGCUGCCACAGAGCCUGAUAAGAGCAAUUAAUUAAACAUUAAGUGUAGAAUAGGGAAUAUAUGGCAUGGGAUAAAUUAUAGUCACAAUUCAUGUUUCUUUUGUCUCCAGAAGUUCACACACAAAAACCCAUGCCUUUACAAAACAAUAAAUUCAGCACUGUCAAUGAUGCUUGUUUCCUCAUGAAUGUUGCAGAGGUCUCUCCAAGUGACUCAGUUGCAUGGAAAAAGUUGUGUCACAAAGAACCAAGGUGAGCUGAAGCAGAAAGUGGGAGAAAUGAGGUGCAAGGGUGUAGAGGAAUAGGAUUUGGACAACUGAGAGUGAAGAAAGGAGGUUAUACAUUUAAAGCAACCUUGUCUUGCUUCUCUAAAGCACCUCAAAGUUUAUCAGCAAAAACUAUCUCUCUGCCUUCUCUUUCAC
rnacentral:lncRNA from 1 species